CCUACGGGAUGCAGCAGUAAGGAAUAUUGGUCAAUGGACGCAAGUCUGAACCAGCCAUGCCGCGUGAAGGAUGAAGGCCUCUGGGUUGUAAACUUCUUUUACAGGGGACGCGGUACCCUGGGAAUAAGCACCGGCUAACUCCGUGCCAGCAGCCGCGGUAAUACGGAGGGUGCAAGCGUUAUCCGGAUUCACUGGGUUUAAAGGGUGCGUAGGUGGGUUAGUAAGUCAGUGGUGAAAUCUCCGUGCUUAACAUGGAAACUGCCAUUGAUACUACUAGUCUUGAAUUUUCCGGAGGUCAGCGGAAUAUGUCAUGUAGCGGUGAAAUGCUUAGAUAUGACAUAGAACACCAAUUGCGAAGGCAGCUGGCUACAGGAAAUUGACACUGAGGCACGAAAGCGUGGGGAUCAAACAGGAUUAGAUACCCGAGUAGUC
rnacentral:rRNA from 1 species